AAUCUGGAUUUCUAGGUCAUGCACUGAUUCAGACUAUUACCAGAUUAUUAAUUAAACUCUAACGAAUACUAAGUAGUGGUACGUGAAAAUUAUAAAGGUGAUUAGUUCUCUAAUAAUUAUUUGUUUAUUCCCGUUUCAUUAAUACAUUUUUAACUCAAUAUCAUUCUGCCAAAGUAUGUAUGUCUAAAAUGAAGUACGUAACAUUUGCUGUGGUUUUAUUGGCAUUUUCAGUUUGCAACGAAUCAAAAGAUUUGCCCUGCAAUGCUGUCUGGAAAGACACAGGUUUCAUUUGUGUUUGUAAUAAAACCUACUGCGAUACAAUAGAACGUCCGAGGAAACUCAAUUUGGGUCAAUACCAUGUUUACUCCACUAGUAAUUUAAAGCCAGGCUUCAAUCACCAUAUCAGUUACUUCAAUUUCAAAAAGUCCACUUCUGUUCUCAAUCUUAAGCUGGAUUUAAACACCAAGCUACAGAAGAUCAGAGGCUUCGGUAGCUCGUUUACAGAUGCAUUUGGAUACUCAUUCAACCGUCUAUCACUGGAAACUCAGAACAACUUUUUGAAGUCUCAUUUCUCAGUUGAUGGAAUUGAGUACAACCUUUGUCGAGUGGUGUUGGGAAGUUCUGAUUUCUCCUUGCAUGAAUACACUUAUGUACCAGAAUUUGAUCCUUCACUCAGCUCAUUCAACUUGACACAAGAAGAUUACGAAAAUAAGAUUUGGCCACUGAUUCGCGCUAAUGCUAUGAGUGGUAGAAAGAUAAAUUUGCUUGGAAGUACUUGGACAGCGCCACCAUGGAUGAAAACCAACAAUAACUUCACAACUGGUUAUUUGAAAAUGGAAUUUGAAAAAGCUUGGGCCGAAUACCAUGUUAAAGCCUUGGAUGCAUUCAGAAAAGAAGGAGUGAAUUUCUGGGGCCUCACAACUGGUAAUGAACCGUUGACACUCACAACGUUCAGGACUAGUAUACCGAAUCUAGCAAUGUACCCUGAGCAGCAAAGAGACUGGAUACGUGACAAUCUGGGUCCAUCAUUGCAGAGAGCCGGAUAUGCAAAUGUAUCGUUAAUAGUAUUGGAUGAUCAACGAAAGUAUGCCUUUUGGUGGUUGAACAUUGUUCUUAACUCGGUUGAGACUCGGAAAUAUGUGGGAGGAAUUGGUAUUCAUUGGUAUAUGGACGCUGAAGCUUCUCCCUUGAUCAUGGACCAAAUUCACUCCAAAUAUCCUGAACAGGAAAUCAUUUACACUGAAUCAAGUAUAAAUCCAGCCGUAAAUUUAGCUGCCGAUGAACGGUCUAAACAUAAUCACCGAUAUCGAGUACCAGUAGAUAGUAAAGAUGUUGUUUGGGAGACAAUUCAUCCAAAACUUGGAGACUGGAGGAGAGCGAUCUUGUACAUCUCCAGUUUGAUGGAGAGUCUGCUCCAUUGGACAGCCGGUUACAUAGACUGGAAUCUGGCGCUGGAUGUGUCUGGAGGCCCAACUGGGAUGGGCUUCACAUGCGAUGCGCCUGUCAUCAUCAACCACCAAUCCGACGAGUUCUACAAGCAACCCAUGUUCUAUGCAAUGGGCCACUUCUCCAAGUUUCUGCAACCGGCAUCUCUGCUCAUUCAUGUUCAAAGUGAAUCCUUCGCCUCAAGUUUCACCAUUAAAGUGAGCAAGCCUGAUUUUCAGCGUCCGUUCGUUUACCAAGAUGUCACAUACAUUGCUGCAAUGAAUCCUGAUGGAACUACUACAAUAAUACUAUUCAAUCCGAAAAAUACAACGAUUCCGGUGACUAUCGACUGUGGUGAAAGAGGAUAUGCUCAUGUGACUCUUGAUGCGGAUUCUUUGACUUCAAUCAUCUUCUAAACAUCUUCAAGCAAUGAACAAAUUACAUGAGUGUUUCACUUCAAAAAUAAAGCCCGGAUGAUGCCCAUUAUAAGCUUUUCACUUGUGCGUGAGAGCUGGGUGAACUAAUGGAAAGUGCGUGGGUGAUUUGAUUAGUUGAUCAAAUGUCCAUGCCUACCGGCGGGAUUCGAACGCACGACCAGGUAGCGCUAGCAGACUGAAUGGUGCAACGCCUUAGCCGUCUCAGUUAUCCUAGCCAGCCAGGCGAAAUUUAUUGUAACAUUAAUUGAAUAUAAUUCUUAAAUAAUAUCAGACCACCAUUAAACUAUUCCGUAUUACUAAAGAACCGUCAGACCUAUUAGUGAUUGUGAAUUCAGAAAAAAUAGAAGACACUUGCAAAUAGCGUUUAUUGAACUUACAUAGAAUACAAAUUAUAGUAUGGAAUUAUUCGAUGGUAUUGGCUUAAAAUUAUUUUUUGCAAUAAAGUUAUAAAUCAAAUAAUA
rnacentral:misc_RNA from 1 species